AUUGAACGCUGGCGGCAGGCCUAACGCAUGCAAGUCGAGCGGAUGAGAAGAGCUUGCUCUUCGAUUCAGCGGCGGACGGGUGAGUAAUGCCUAGGAAUCUGCCUGAUAGUGGGGGACAACGUCUCGAUAGGGACGCUAAUACCGCAUACGUCCUACGGGAGAAAGCAGGGGACCUUCGGGCCUUGCGCUAUCAGAUGAGCCUAGGUCGGAUUAGCUUGUUGGUGAGGUAAUGGCUCACCAAGGCGACGAUCCGUAAAUGGUCUGAGAGGAUGGUCAGUCACACUGGAACGGAGACACGGUCCAGGCUCCUACGGGAGGCAGCAGUGGGGAAUAUUGGACAAUGGGCGAAAGCCUGAUCCAGCCAUGCCGCGUGUGUGAAGAAGGUCUUCGGAUUGUAAAGCACUUUAAGUUGGGAGGAAGGGCAGUCAGCGAAUACCUGGUUGUUUUGACGUUACCGACAGAAUAAGCACCGGCUAACUCUGUGCCAGCCGCCGCCGUAACAC
rnacentral:rRNA from 1 species